CGGGGCAGUUAGCAAAUUAGGCUGCGCGUUCGCUUCUGCUAGAGGGCGGGGCCGGAGGUUUCGAUUAGUUGUCUCUGCCGCUGGGGAAGGUAAAGCGGCGACGGCGUCCUCAGGAGCUGUGGGGUCCCCUGCUAGAAGUGGGGGACUCGGCGGGAUCCGUGCCUAAUGUGCAUGUCAUAGAGCAGGCUUCAUCAAAUUCAGAUAUUUAGACACUUCGUCUACUUCAGACUGGAUUGUGAUGGGAUUUGCAAACAGCUUAACAUGCAAGGUACCGUAACUGCCUUUUCCUGCCUGCAUCAUUUUCUUCUUAGUGACCUUCUAGGGUGGGCUGGGGAGUAAGGCCAGCUUGGGAACAGGAAGUCUCAUCAGCACAGGCUGAUCCCCACUUGUGCAGGUUUCCUCCUUUGCUCGGUGUAUUGCUUGUGUGGACGGACACUGCUUAGGGACGUUAUGUUUUUGGGUACAUAUAGUAGAGGAAUGUAAUGGUUUGGUUAGAAGUAAAGUGUUUUGGGAAACUGUAUCUAAUUUUCUUUGC
rnacentral:lncRNA from 1 species